CCUACGGGCGGCUGCAGUGGGGAAUAUUGGACAAUGGGGGGAACCCUGAUCCAGCCAUGCCGCGGGUGUGAAGAAGGCCCUCGGGUUGUAAAGCACUUUCAGUGAGGAAGAACGCCUGGUGGUUAAUACCCAUCAGGAAAGACAUCACUCACAGAAGAAGCACCGGCUAACUCCGUGCCAGCAGCCGCGGUAAUACGGAGGGUGCGAGCGUUAAUCGGAAUUACUGGGCGUAAAGCGCGCGUAGGUGGCUUGAUAAGCCGGUUGUGAAAGCCCCGGGCUCAACCUGGGAACGGCAUCCGGAACUGUCAAGCUAGAGUGCAGGAGAGGAAGGUAGAAUUCCCGGUGUAGCGGUGAAAUGCGUAGAGAUCGGGAGGAAUACCAGUGGCGAAGGCGGCCUUCUGGACUGACACUGACACUGAGGUGCGAAAGCGUGGGUAGCAAACAGGAUUAGAUACCCUGGUAGUC
rnacentral:rRNA from 1 species